rnacentral:rRNA from 11 species
CCUGUUGAGCUUGACUCUAGUCCGACUUUGUGAAAUGACUUGAGAGGUGUAGUAUAAGUGGGAGCCCUCGGGGCGAAAGUGAAAUACCACUACUUUUAACGUUAUUUUACUUAUUCCGUGAAUCGGAAGCGGGGCAACGCCCUCUUUUGACCCAAGGCCCGCCUCGGGGGUCGAGUCCGGGCGGAAGACAUUGUCAGGUGGGGAGUUUGGCUGGGCGGCAAUCUGUUAAAGAUAACGCAGGUGUCUAAGAUGAGCCAAGCGAGAACAGAAAUCUCGUGUAGAACAGAAGGGUUAAAAGCUCGUUUGAUUCUUGAUUUCCAGAGUCGUGAAUACGAACCGUGAAAAGGUGGGGUCCUACCGAUCCUUUAUACCCCUCGAAUUUGAAGCUAGAGGUAUCAGAAAAGUUACCACAGG